GUCGUGUUGUCCAUUGCAAGUGAAACAAUGGAAUAAGAUUACCGAUGAUAAGCUCGACCACAUGUGGUCUACCAUAUUGGUAUUAUAGGCAUAAGUUGAAGAAGAAGUACUUUGAUUCAAAGGCAACUUAUUCACUUCAUCUCCGAAACAAGCCUAAGGAUAUGGAUGUAAAAGAUUGAAAGUAUUUGGUUAAUCUUUGGACAGAAAAUGCAUUUCAGGAGAGAAGCAACAAAAAUAAGACAAAUAGAUACAAGCGUUCUAUGCCGCCAUACACGGGGAUAAAAAGCUUUGCUCGGCUGAGAGAUCAUAUGGUAUGAGUUUGUUUUUAUUUUAUUAGUAUUAUAGUGUUUUUUAUUAAUUAAAUGAUACAUAAAUAAUCCCUUUUUACUGCUGUCGUUUUGUGGACUAUGGCUAGAAAGAAACAAAAUAGUAUUUGAUAAUUCUAGUUUAGAGCUUGAGAAAGUUUAUGAUUUGAUCUUUUAUGGAUCUUUUGUUUGGUUUAAGAUGUGCCUAGCUUUCCUUAUUCCUUAAUCCAAAUUCUUUUUAGUAGCUCAACAAUCAA